ACGAGACCCUGCUGGCAUGCCUCAUCCAGAAACAGGGAAGGAUCUUUAUGAGCCAAGUCAUGGUGCCAAAGUGCUGACGAUGGCCCCUGGUUUAAUCACUUUGGAAAUAGUUCCCUUUCGAGUUGCAGCUUACAACAAGAAAAAGAAGCGUAUGGACUACUAUGACUCUGAACAGAGAGUAAUGGCACCUAUCUUUCCUUUUACAAUACUGGAGGUGGUCCACACCCAUCCCAGCAGCCACAGGUGGGUGCAUGCAUGGGAUGGUUGGGUGGGACAGCUCCCUGCUCCCUCUUCCC
rnacentral:sRNA from 1 species